CUUAUAAGGACACUGGUCCCGUUGGCCUGGGGCCCACCCAUAUGACCUCGACUUAAUCACCCCCUUGAAAGGCCCUGUCUCCAAAUCCAGUCACAUUCCGAGGUGCUGGGGUUGGGACUUGAGGAUGUGAAUCUGGGGACACAAUUCAGCCCCUGACAGAUGGCUUUUGCUCUUGGGGAGGUGGGGGCCUGGCUGAGUGUUGAGCGAGAAGAGACAAGAUCUGAUUUGCAUAUUAAUAAGGAUCCCUCUGGCGCCGAGCCCUGCCCCCCCAGGAGAGGCAGGCGAGGCCCCAGGCCUGCUGACUCCAGCUGACUUCUCCUCUGGCACUUCCUUCCCAACUCCUGGCUGUGGAUCCUGACCGCCCCCCCCCCCAAUUGGACAAACAUCUUGCGGCCGUUUCCUCCUCGCCUGCCCGGAGCCCGGCCUGGCCUGAACAAACACUCGGGACCUGCGCUUCCGGCCUCAGCUCUGGGAAAAGCCCGGCCAGGGGCCGCCGAGAGAUUAGGAGCCAGGCCCGGGUGCGGCAGGAGUGGACAGACAGCUCUUGACAACGCAAAUAGGCGAAGAUGGCUGAAUGUGAGGAGCGAGCUCCCCGUCGCUGGACGUAUGAGCAGAGCCAGCCGGAUGCGCAGGAGGCAACCCCUGCCAACACUUACUCUUCCUUACCUGCUCCCAGUGCCCUGGACUGGAGGCAGGAUCUGGGAGUGGAAACAAUGGAAUUAAUGUGUGUAAGGGUUCUGGUGUUUGUUUUUUUUUCUUUUUUUUUUCCCUUUGGAGCAGUUUCUCCUCAUCUGCGGGGUUGGAUUCCCACCUCAACUUCCGGUCUUUGGAGGAGCCGGCUGGAGAGGAUGGGCGUGGGCGGGGGGCGGCGGUCAGGAAGGAGAGAGCUGCGUGGCGGGGCAAGGAGGAAGGAAGGGCUCCUUCUUGCCCCUGGGUCUUUGCACUGGCUGUGCCGCCCCCCCACCUCAGCCCCGGCCCCUGUUGGUAGCCCCGGUGCCUCCUCCAGGAAGCCCUCCCUGACCUCCCCCACCCAGGCUAAACAAACUGGAGUCAGCACCUUCCUGCUCUCAUUCAUCAGCACUUCAUCUUCCACUGCGGGCUGGGCCUCUUGGUUUACAGCUUCUCCUCUGCUCAGCACUCAGGGGACAGCAGUCGCGUAGAGCAUGGGAAGGGGGACCCGGUCCCUACACUGUGGUCCUCACUGUCCACUCAGGCCCCUUGAUCUGCGGUGGAGAAGGCAAAGGGCGAGUCGGGCGGGGUCGCGGUGGGGCGGUGGGGGUGGCUACAGAACAGAAGUGGGAAUGGAUGGAGUGCACAAGGGCUGGACUCCGACGACCCUGGCUGUCAAUCUCGGCAGUGAGUUCUCCCUGAGCCUCAGCUUCCUCCUCUGGAAAACGGGGAUGACAGCCCUACCCGGCAAAACCAACUUGAACGGCCCCAGCGCCGGGCCCAGGAGGCAUCCUGCAGGUGCUUUAACCAGCUUAGCAGGCGGGCAGCUGGGCUUGGUGCCUAGGCGGUCUGGUCUCUUGGAUGGGAGGGUCCGGGGCAUGGAGGGGAAAGCGGAGCCCCAAACCUGUAACUCACAUGGAUCCACUCAGCUACCAAGUAAUGCGACCGGUUCCUCCGCACGCCCACCUCUCCUUCUCCCGGCUCCGCCAGGGGCCGAGGGUCCUGCAAACGCAAACCUGCAGCAAAUAACGCUGAUUAUAGCAUUUACGAGCCUUUUCUGAGGCUCCUCACUCAACCUCUCGGUCUCUCCUCUAUCACGUGGGGUCAGCGCUGGGUGGGCACGUGCGGGUCCAGAGGAGCAGGGCCCCUGCCUCUCAUCAAGCCUUGAGGUCCGGAGGCCUUGAGGUUCAGUAAGGACAGAGGGACAGGGCUGGAUAAUAAAAUGGGGGGCGGGGGGACCUCUGGCUGUCACGCACAGAUACUGGGCAACCCGCCCCCGACCCCGGAGGAUGCCUUACGCAUGCGCGUGGCGCUGGGUUCCUUCAUGUCCGUCAAAUAGCAGAGGCGGUGCGUCCGGGCCCACGUGUACGUGCCCACGCGUGCGUGCGCAGCGUUUGCUGACUCCGCCCCGGGUACCCGGGAGAAACUGAGGCACCGAGCAGGGUGGUGGCUUGUUGGGAGCUUCAGAGCUGGCGUUCCACCAGUGCUACCUUUCCGAGGGGACCUGCGGACCAGCCAGGUGCAGCUGCGCUUUUGGCCUCUGAUUCUCAACAAAUACCCACCAUAACCCACAUCCUCCCAACCCGUGGCUUUUGUCUUCUGUUGCCUUUAACACAAAUAAUACACAAGUUUCUCUGAUGAAACUUAGAAAAUUGAGACUCGAAAGAAAAACUUCAAAUUCUCCCCUCCCACCCAGCAAAGCACUCCGGUACAGAGGGCGCUAGUGGUGAAGUUCUUGCCUGCCAGUGCAGGAAAUGUAAAAGACCAGGGUUCGAUCCCUCGGUCGGGAAGAUCCCUCUGGAGAAGGGCAUGGCACUCCAGUAUUUUUGCCUGGACAAUACCAUGGACAGAGGAGCCUGGCGGGCUACAGUCCAUGGGAUCGCAAAGAGUUGGACACGACUGAAGCGACUUGGCACGCAUGCAGGCACCCAGCAAAACAUCAAGGGUUCACCCUGCCUGAUUCUGCCUCUCCCCAACCCUGUAACCCGCGGUGCACACCCUCGGUGGCGGGCCCUCAGGGUGCCCAUCGUUAGCUGCAUGGCACGUCCACGCCCAGGUCCUGGAGUGCAGCUCGGGAUGUUACAGCCCUCCAUUCCUGUAGGGGCAGGGGAAUGCCCACCCCUGCCGUGGCAUGGAGGGGGAAGUGAGAACGGAGGGGCAGGGAUGGGAUGACAUGGGUCUAGUUGAGGAAGUGAAAGUUCUCCUGCGGACCUCCCCCCCCCCCACCGAUUGACGGCAGCCCGCUGGCAUCAUCCUUUGUCCCGGAUGGAGGUUCACAGGGUGGUGCCCCCCCACCCGACCAAAACCAUAUUGGGGCCCCAGGCUGUGAUACCAGGAGGAAGGGGGUUUCCCUGGUCGCUUGCCCGGGGAGUCUCAGCUCAGGGGGGACCGUCCCAGCCUCAGACCCCAGACUUUGACUCUGGCCUGACCAGCCAAGCCUCUUGAGUGAAGACAGGGAAGUUGGGGCCUGGGGCGGUGGUGGGGUUACUUGUUUGGUUUUACUAUUUUCAGAUAGAGACUGAAUGGGGUCUAGAGCCCAGCCAGGGGGCCUCAGACACCUGCCCAGAUGUUCGUGGUGGUAGCCUCCUGUCCUCUGUGAGCGCUCUACCUGGUCACACUGGGCGGGGUUCGAGUCCCCUGCGGUCCUCUCUGUGGACUUGGCCUUGGCAAGCCCCUGCCUGUCUUUGGCCUUCUGUGAAACGGGGCGAGGGAUUGCCCGUGCUCCUGAGGGGAGCAGAUGAGAUGAGUAUGGGUGCCCCUGGGGCGGGCCCCGGAUGAGUGUCAGUUGGGUUGGAAGGUUUGGGCAGGUGGCCUCUCCUGCCCCGCUGACCAACCCCAGGUGCGGAGGGGCAAUGGGCUGGUGGCUCCAUCCGUGUGGAGCUCACCGGCUUCCUCUGGGGCCCCACAGGGCCUCCUGUUUCACUGGGGAGAGGGUCUCCCCUCCUAUCCCCUUCCUCCAGGCCUCCUUCCUGCUUCCCGAGGUGCGGCUGGCCCUUCCGUCCAGGCGCUCAUCAAUUGCGCCCGAGGUGCUGAGCGUCCGGCCAGCCUUCUCAGGCCAUGACUCACUUCCUGUUUCCUGGAGCUAGAAAUAGCUUCCUCUGGAUGCUGGGCCAGUGCUGGGGUCUCCCUCCCCAGCAGCUACUCAAAGUCUCUGUAGCCCACCCUCGCCAGGCCUGGGUACCCCACUAAGUCCGUGUUCAGCUGGACACAAGGCCAGCCCAGGGACCAUUCCUUGCUGCCUUAGGGUUGUAGGAGCACCCGCUGGGGGUCUAGCCCUGGGGCAGCAGCAAUGAACAAACAUGUGGACCUGCCCUCGGGUGUUUACAGACACUCACCAAAUAACCUGGCAACUAGGGUGCUGUGAGCACUGUGCAGGGAGCGCCUGGGGCCUCUGCCCACUGUGGAGUCCUCAGGGGUCAUGGAUGAAGGAAAACAGGUGGGGCUUUACCCCCAAGAGCUUUUGCAGGGUUUCAAGCUGUUGGAAAACAAUGUGAAGAGGUUUGCAAUUGGACAGUCUCCCUGAGGCUGCUUCAUGGAGAAGAGAUUCC
ensembl:lncRNA